AACAAAUUGAGUCAACAAUAUGUUGGAAGUGCGAAGAAGAAGAGAGUUGUGUUUCUCGGAGUGUAGUCAUCAGUUCUUCCAAAUUUAUUAUCCUUAUCAAUGCUCUCACCGACUGCAUAUACCAACAAACUUCGUGAAGAGCUACAUGGGAAAGGGUAGACGGAGUGUUACACUUGUUGUUUCAGAUCAUUCGUGGCCUGUGAAAUUGAUCAGAUAUA